CCAACCCUCCACCAACCACCACCCCCAGCCCUCCAAUAACCAACACAACCACCCCUCCACCAACCACCACCCCCAGCCCUCCAAUAACCACCACAACCACCCCUCCACCAACCACCACUCCCAGCCCUCCAAUAACCACCACAACCACCCCUCCACCAACCACCACCCCCAGCCCUCCAAUAACCACCACAACCACCCCUUCACCAACCACCACUCCUAACCCACCAACCACCACCCCCAGCCCUCCAAUAACCACCACAACCACCCCUUCACCAACCACCACUCCCAGCCCUCCAACCACCACCCCCAGCCCUCCAUAACCACCACAACCACCCCUUCACCAACCACCACUCCCAGCCCUCCAGUAACCACCACGACCACCCUUCACCAACCACCACUCCCACCCUUCCACCAACCACCACUCCCAGCCCUCUAACAACUACUCCUCUCUCUCCAUCAAUAACUCCUCCUACAUUUUCACCAUUCUCAACGACAACCCCUACUAUCCCGUGCGUGCCUGUCUGCAAUUGGACUGGCUGGCUGGAUUCUGGAAAACCCAAUUUAACAAACCAGUGGAGAUACGGAAUUGAUUGGAGACGUCUGUGGACCAGGCUGGGCAGCUAACAUAUCUUGCAGAGCCACCAUGUAUCCUGAUGUUCCCAUUGGACAGCUUGGACAAACAGUGGUGUGUGACGUCUCUGUGGGGCUGAUAUGCAAAAAUGAAGACCAAAAGCCAGGUGGGGUCAUCCCUAUGCCCUUCUGCCUCAACUACGAGAUCAACGUUCAGUGCUGUGAGUGUGUCACCCAACCCACCACCAUGACACCCACCGGCACACAGACCCCAACCGCGACCCCCAUCGCCACCACACACGUAACCCCAACACCCACCGGCACACAGACGCCAACCCCGACACCCAUCGCCACCACCACUACGGUAACCCCAACACCCACCGGCACACAGACCCCAACCGCGACCCCCAUCACCACAACCACUACGGUAACCCAACACCCACUGGCACACAGACCCCAACCCCAACACCCAUCACCACCACCACUACGGUGACCCCAACCCCAACACCCACGGGCACACAGACCCCAACCACGACACCCAUCACCACCACCACUACGGUAACCCCAACCCCAACACCCACCAGCUCACAGACCCUAACCCCAACACCUAUCACCACCACCACUAUGGUGACCCCAACCCCAACACCCACUGGCACACAGACCCCAACCCCGACAUCAUUCACCACCACCACUAUGGUGACCCCAACCCCAACAUCCACCGGCACACAGAGUACAACCCUGACACCCAUCACUGCCACCAGUACGGUGACCCAACCCCAACCACGGCAACAGACGCCAACACCCCAACCCAACACCCACUGCACACAGACCCCAACCGCGACCCCCAUCCCACCACCACUACGGUAACCCCAACACCACCGGCACACAGAGUACAACCCACACCCAUCACCACCACCACUACGGUGACCCCAACCCAACACCACCAGCACACAGAGUACAACCCUGACACCCAUCACCACCACCACUACGGUAACCCCACACCCCACUGGCACACAGACCCCAACGGCGACACCCAUCACCACCACCACUAACGUGACCCAACCCCAAAACACCACCGGCACACAGACGCAACCCCGACACCCAUCACCACCACCACUCCGGUAACCCCAACACCCACUGGCACACAGACCCCAACCGUGACCCCCAUCACCACCACCACUACGGUAACCCCAAACCCACUGCACACGACCCCAACCCCGACCACCCAUCACCACCACCACUACGGUGACCCCAACCCCAACACCCCCGGCACACAGACCCCAACCCCGACACCCCCGUCACCACCACACUACGGUGACCCCAACCCCCAACACCCACCGGAACACAGACCCCAACCACGACACCCACACACCACUACGGUGACCCCAACCCCAACACCCACCGGCACACAGACCCAACCACGACACCCAUCACCACCACCACUACGUGACCCCAACACCCACCGCACACAGGACCCAACGCGACCCCUAUCACCACCACCACUACGGAACCGCACACCCACCGGCCACCAGAGUACAACCCCAACACCCAUCACCACCACCACUACGGUGACCCCAACCCCAACACCCACCAGCACACCAGAGUACAACCCCCCGACACCCAUCGCACCACCACUACCGGUCAACCCCAACACCCACUGGCACACAGACCCCAACUGCGACACCCAUCACCACCACCACUACGGUGACCCCAACCCCAACACCCACCGGCACACAGACCCCAACCCCCGACACCAUCGCACCACCCACUACGGUAAUCCCAACACCCCACCGCACACAGGACCCCAACCCCGACACCCACGCCACCACCACUACGGUAACCCCAACACCCACUGGCACACAGACCCCAACCCCGACACCCAUCACCACCACCACUACGGUGACCCCAACCCCAACACCCACCGGCACACAGACCCCAACCGCGACCCCCAUCACCACCACCACUACGGUGACCCCAACCCCAACACCCACCGGCACACAGACGCCAACCCCGACACCCAUCACCACCACCACUACGGUAACCCCAACACCCACCGGCACACAGACCCCAACCGUGACCCCCAUCACCACCACUAUGGUAACCCCAACACCCACCGGCACACAGAGUACAACCCCAACACCCAUCACCACCACCACUACGGUGACCCCAACCCCAACACCCACCAGCACACAGAGUACAACCCCGACACCCAUCGCCACCACCACUACGGUAACCCCAACACCCACUGGCACACAGACCCCAACUGCGACACCCAUCACCACCACCACUACGGUGACCCCAACCCCAACACC
rnacentral:sRNA from 1 species